UACGUAGGGUGCGAGCGUUGUCCGGAAUUAUUGGGCGUAAAGGGCUCGUAGGCGGUCUGUCGCGUCGGUAGUGAAAACUCAGGGCUUAACCCUGAGCCUGCUUCCGAUACGGGCAGACUAGAGGUAUGCAGGGGAGAACGGAAUUCCUGGUGUAGCGGUGGAAUGCGCAGAUAUCAGGAGGAACACCGGUGGCGAAGGCGGUUCUCUGGGCAUUACCUGACGCUGAGGAGCGAAAGUGUGGGGAGCGAACAGG
rnacentral:rRNA from 1 species